rnacentral:lncRNA from 1 species
UCGAAUCCUGGAACGUCAGAUCUGAUAACGGCGAAGACCCUCCUGACUCGUCGCUCUCCGCCGAAACCGGUGACGAGGAGUUCUCCGCCUUGCAACAGACCUCCGACCCACUUGAUCCAGCAUCCGCCGGUUUUAGAUCGUCGUCGGAAUCGAUCACCGUUGGGGCCUGAGAUCCCGAUGCGAUGGUUGAAGAACCAGAUGACUUCGACUUUCUCCGAUCCGAUUUCCCCUUUGUCUGCGACUCGGCCAAGGUUUGGCAGAUGGCUUCGAGUUUAGCGUCGACGGCGGAGUGUAGCGGUUUGUACUCGCCGAAAUCGCCACCGACGGAGGAGCCAUGGUGCUUGAGGUGAGGGAAAUUGAGUCUGGCGAAGUCGCCUCGGAGCUUGUAAGCGGCUUUGUCGUAAGCUAAAGCGGCUUCUUCGGCGGUAUCGAAGGUGCCGAGCCAUAGCCGAGUUCUGUUCCUCGGAAGACGGAUCUCAGCCACCCAUUUCCCCCAAUGCCUUUGCCUCACGCCUCGAUAUAGUUUCGUCGAUUUCGGUGGAGAUCCCACGUGUUUCAUUGGAAUCCCCCUCGGUCCAAGCAGAUUUCCGGCGGUGUUGCUCUGAUUUCUUACUACCUGGUUGUUGAUCUGUCCCCAAACUGGCUGGAUUUGUGUGUGGAGACCGAAUUGAGAUUGGAUCUGUUGGAUCUGAAAAGGGGUUAAGUAAUUAAGUCCAAUAGAAGGUGAUUGCUCUACGCCAUGGAAAUCUUGACCCGAGAACCCAUCGGAAAAUAAAUGGGUCAACGGAGGAGAGCAAUCAGAAGGGUAAGAAGUAGACUCUGUUGGGAUAGAAGAAGAAGAAGAUGAAGAAGAAGAAGAGAAAGAGAAGUCCGGAAAAGAAGAAGGAAAAUAAGAAGGGGAAGCAACUUUCAUAAAAGGUUCAAUUGCUUCCAUUAAUUCACCACCAAAUGGAUCUGACUGAAAC